CGCGUAGGCGGUCUGUUGCGUCAGGUGUGAAAUCCCCGGGCUCAACCUGGGAACCGCACUUGAUACGGGCAGGCUUGAAUCCGGGAGAGGAUGGUGGAAUUCCCAGUGUAGAGGUGAAAUUCGUAGAUAUUGGGAAGAACACCGAUGGCGAAGACAGCCAUCUGGACCGGCAUUGACGCUGAGGCGCGAAAGCGUGGGGAGCAAACA
rnacentral:rRNA from 1 species